rnacentral:lncRNA from 1 species
GAGAGCUUUAGUGAAGGGGCUGAUCAGGUUCUCUUUUUCAUCAAUUUUUUUCAGCUCGAUGUCACCUCGAUCCAUUAUUUCACAGACAAGAUGAUAGUGUCACAGAAUGUAUUUGAUUCUGUGGUGUGACUUGAGCUCCUUUGCUUGAGCUAUAGCUCCAGUACUAUCAUAAUAUAGUAAAACUGGACUAUCAAAAGAGGAAACCA